UGGGAAUUUGGACAAUGGGCGAAAGCCUGAUCCAGCAAUGCCGCGUGUGUGAAGAAGGCCUUCAGGUUGUAAAGCACUUUUGUCCGGAAAGAAAUCCUUGGCUCUAAUACAGUCGGGGGAUGACGGUACCGGAAGAAUAAGCACCGGCUAACUACGUGCCAGCAGCCGCGGUAAUACGUAGGGUGCAAGCGUUAAUCGGAAUUACUGGGCGUAAAGCGUGCGCAGGCGGUUUGCUAAGACCGAUGUGAAAUCCCCGGGCUCAACCUGGGAACUGCAUUGGUGACUGGCAGGCUAGAGUAUGGCAGAGGGGGGUAGAAUUCCACGUGUAGCAGUGAAAUGCGUAGAGAUGUGGAGGAAUACCGAUGGCGAAGGCAGCCCCCUGGGCCAAUACUGACGCUCAUGCACGAAAGCGUGGGGGAGCAAAACAGGAUUAGAUACCCUGGUAGUCCACGCCCUAAAACGAUGUCAACUAGUUGUUGGGGAUUCAUUUCCUUAGUAACGUAGCUAACGCGUGAAGUUGACCGCCUGGGGAGUACGGUCGCAAGAUUAAAAC
rnacentral:rRNA from 1 species